AGCGGGAUUGUGGCAGCAAUGUCACAUGAGAGCGGCGCACGGGUGAGUAACGCGUACACGACCUACCUUUGACUGGGGGAUAGCCCCGGGAAACUGGGAUUAAUACCGCAUAUAAUUCUCGAUAAUAAAGGUUGGGAAUGAAAGUUCAGGCGGUCAGAGAUGGGUGUGCGUCUGAUUAGCUAGUUGGUAAGGUAACGGCUUACCAAGGCGAUGAUCAGUAGGGGGCGUGAGAGCGUGAUCCCCCACACGGGUGCUGAGACACGGACCCGACUCCUACGGGAGGCAGCAGUAAGGAAUAUUGGACAAUGGCCGCAAGGCUGAUCCAGCCAUCCAGCGUGCAGGAAGAAGGCCCUAUGGGUUGUAAACUGCUUUUAUCAGGGAAUAAACCUCUUUAUUUAUAGAGAGCUGAAGGUACCUGAAGGAUAAGCACCGGCUAACUCCGUGCCAGCAGCCGCGGUAAUACGGAGGGUGCGAGCGUUAUCCGGAAUUACUGGGUUUAAAGGGUGCGUAGGCGGCCCUGUAAGUCAGGAGUGAAAGUUUGCGGCUCAACCGUAAAA
rnacentral:rRNA from 1 species